ACAUGCCUACAACAUAGCAUUAAUGCAGUGGAUCCCAUUAGAAAUCUGAAUUUAAGAGCGCUUAGGCUAGAGUAGUAUUGGUAUGGGUGACCUCCCAGGAAGUCCUAGUGUUUUACAUGCC
rfam:Picea glauca, whole genome shotgun sequence.